GCCUGGGUGGCUCAGUCGGUUGAGCGUCUGACUUCGGCUCAGGUCCUGAUCUCACAGUUUGUGGGUUCAAGCCCCGCAUCAGGCU
rnacentral:tRNA from 1 species